ACACAAGGGACAAAGGCUAAGUACGCCACAUCCUGUGGCAACGCCUUCGUGAUCUACAUCCUGUAGA
rnacentral:sRNA from 1 species